rnacentral:rRNA from 1 species
CAGUCGCCGCGGUAAUACGAAGGGGGCUAGCGUUGUUCGGAUUUACUGGGCGUAAAGCGCACGUAGGCGGAUCGAUCAGUCAGGGGUGAAAUCCCAGAGCUCAACCUGGGAAUGGCAAUGGAUACUGGCAAGCUAGAGUGUGUCAGAGGACGGUGGAAUUCCCGGUGUAGCGGUGAAAUGCGUAGAGAUCGGGAGGAACAUCAGUGGCGAAGGCGGCCAUCUGGGACAACACUGACGCUGAGGCACGAAAGCGUGGGGAGCAAACAGGAUUAGAUACCCCGGUAGUCCCUGUCUCUUAUAA